rnacentral:rRNA from 1 species
CGUUCCCGGGCCUUGUACACACCGCCCGUCAAGCCACGGAAGUUGGGAGCACCCGAAGUCGUUUACCUAACCGCAAGGAGGGUGACGCCGAAGGUGAAACUGAUGACUGGGGCU